rnacentral:rRNA from 1 species
ACUACGGGAGGCAGCAGUGAGGAAUAUUGGUCAAUGGACGGAAGUCUGAACCAGCCAUGCCGCGUGCAGGAAGACGGCUCUAUGAGUUGUAAACUGCUUUUGUACAAGGGUAAACCUGAAUACGUGUAUUCAGCUGACAGUACUGUACGAAUAAGGAUCGGAUAACUCCGUGCCAGCAGCCGCGGUAAUACGGAGGAUCCAAGCGUUAUCCGGAUUUAUGGGGGUUAAAGGGUGCGUAGGCAGAUUGGUAAGUUAGAGGUGAAAUGUCCGAGCUUAACUCGGGACCUGCCUCUAAUACUGUUGAUCUAGAGAGUAGAUGCGGUAGGCGGAAUGUAGGGUGUAGCGGUGAAAUGCUUAGAGAUCAUACAGAACACCGAUUGCGAAGGCAGCUUACCAAUCUAUAACUGACGUUGAGGCACGAAAGCGUGGGGAGCAAACAGGAUUAGAUACCCCUUAGUC